AUUGAACGCUGGCGGCAGGACUAACACAUGCAAGUCGAGCGGAGCGGCGGACGGGUGAGUAAUGCCUAGGAAUCUGCCUGGUAGUGGGGGAUAACGUCCGGAAACGGGCGCUAAUACCGAAUACUAUCAGAUGAGCCUAGGUAGGAUUAGCUAGUUGGUGGGGUAAAGGCCUACCAAGGCGACGAUCCGUAACUGGUCUGAGAGGAUGAUCAGUCACACUGGAACUUAGACACGGUCCAGACCCCUACGGGAGGAAGCAGUGGGGAAUAUUGGCCACUGGGGUAAAGCCUGAUCCAGCCACGCGCCGUGUGUGAAGAAGGUCUUCGGUUUGUAAAGCACUUUAAGUUGUGAGGCGUUACCAACAGAAUAAGCCCCGGCUAACUUCGUGCCAGCCGCCGCGGUAAUAC
rnacentral:rRNA from 1 species